rnacentral:rRNA from 1 species
GACGAACGCUGGCGGCGUGCUUAACACAUGCAAGUCGAGCGGAGCGGCGAACGGGUGAGUAACGCGUGAGUAACUGCCCCCCUCUCUGGGAUAACAGUUGGAAACGGCUGCUAAUACCGGAUAGUGGGGGAUGACUCGCGGCCUAUCAGCUUGUUGGGUGGGUAGUGGCCUUCCACGGCGACGACGGGUAGCCGGCCUGAGAGGGCGACCAGCCACAAGACGCUGAGAGACGGACCAGUGUGCAACGGUGGGCAGCGGUGGGGAGUAUUACACAAUGGGGGAGACCCUGAUGCGGCGACGCCGGGGGCGGAAUGACGGCUUUCGGGUUGGAAACCGCUUUAAGCCAUGACGCGUUAGUGGCAGAAGAAGCACCGGCUAACUACGUGCCAGCCGCCGCGGUAAUUC